rnacentral:rRNA from 1 species
CCUACGGGAGGCAGCAGUGAGGAAUAUUGGUCAAUGGACGAGAGUCUGAACCAGCCAAGUAGCGUGAAGGAUGACUGUCCUAUGGGUUGUAAACUUCUUUUAUAUGGGAAUAAAAUGUUCCACGUGUGGGAUUUUGUAUGUACCAUAUGAAUAAGGAUCGGCUAACUCCGUGCCAGCAGCCGCGGUAAUACGGAGGAUACGAGCGUUAUCCGGAUUUAUUGGGUUUAAAGGGAGCGUAGGUGGAUUGUUAAGUCAGUUGUGAAAGUGUGCGGCUCAACCGUAAAAUUGCAGUUGAAACUGGCAGUCUUGAGUACAGUAGAGGUGGGCGGAAUUCGUGGUGUAGCGGUGAAAUGCUUAGAUAUCACGAAGAACUCCGAUUGCGAAGGCAGUUCACUGGACUGCAACUGACACUGAGGCUCGAAAGUGUGGGUAUCAAACAGGAUUAGAUACCCGUGUAGUC